GAUGAAGAACGUAGCGAAAUGCGAUACUUGGUGUGAAUUGCAGAACCCCGUGAACCAUCGAGUCUUUGAACGCAAGUUGCGCCUCAAGCCAUUAGGUUGAGGGCACGUCUGCCUGGGCGUCACAUAUCGUUGCCUGAUGCCAGUUUCCUCGUGAUGGGUGACUGUGCAGGGCGAAUGAUGGCUUCCCGUGAGCAUUGUUGCCUCAUGGUUGGUUGAAAAUUGAGUCCUUGGUAGGGAGCGCCGUGAUAGAUGGUGGUUGAGUGACGAACGAGACCCAAUCAUGUGAGACCCCUACCGAAUUUGGCCUUCAUGACCCACAUGCGUCUUUGGAACGCUCAUGACGAGACCUCAGGUCAGGCGGGGCUACCCGCUGAGUUUAAGCAUAUCAAUAAGCGGAGGA
rnacentral:misc_RNA from 1 species